rnacentral:rRNA from 1 species
CCGGACAGGGAUGGGCAUGCGGCGCAUUAGGCAGUAGGCGGGGUAGCGGCCCACCUAACCGACGAUGCGUAGGGGUUCUGAGAGGAAGGUCCCCCACACUGGUACUGAGACACGGACCAGACUCCUACGGGAGGCAGCAGUGAGGAAUAUUGGUCAAUGGUCGGGAGACUGAACCAACCAAGCCGCGUGAGGGAUGAAGGUACAGAGUAUCGUAAACCUCUUUUGUCAGGGAACAAAGGCGGGGACGUGUCCCCGGAUGAGUGUACCUGAAGAAAAAGCAUCGGCUAACUCCGUGCCAGCAGCCGCGGUAAUACGGAGGAUGCGAGCGUUAUCCGGAUUUAUUGGGUUUAAAGGGUGCGCAGGCGGUCUGUUAAGUCAGCGGUCAAAGCCCGGGGCUCAACCCCGGUCCGCCGUUGAAACUGGCAGUCUCGAGUUGGAGAGAAGUAUGCGGAAUGCGCGGUGUAGCGGUGAAAUGCAUAGAUAUCGCGCAGAACUCCGAUUGCGAAGGCAGCAUGCCGGCUCCACAUUGACGCUGAGGCACGAAAGCGUGGGUCUCGAACAGGAUUAGAUACCCUGGUAGUCCACGCAGUAAAC